rnacentral:rRNA from 1 species
UACGGAGGAUCCAAGCGUUAUCCGGAUUUAUUGGGUUUAAAGGGUGCGUAGGUGGGUUGGUAAGUCAGUGGUGAAAUCCCCGAGCUUAACUUGGGAACUGCCAUUGAUACUAUUAAUCUUGAAUACCGUGGAGGUUAGCGGAAUAUGUCAUGUAGCGGUGAAAUGCUUAGAUAUGACAUAGAACACCAAUUGCGAAGGCAGCUGGCUACACGAAUAUUGACACUGAUGCACGAAAGCGUGGGGAUCAAACAGG